UAAUAACUUUCGAAUCGCAUGGCCUUGUGCUAGCGAUGUUUCAUUCAAAUUUCUGCCCUAUCACUUUCGAUGGUAGGAUAGAGGCCUACAUGGUUUGAACGGGUAACGGGAAUAAGGGUUCGAUUCCGGAGAGGGAGCCUGAGAAACGGUACCACAUCCAAGGAAGGCAGCAGGCGCGCAAAUACCCAAUCCCGAUACGGGGAGGUAGUGACAAUAAAUAACAAUACAGGGCUUUAUAGUCUUGUAAUUGGAAUGAGUACAAUUUAAAUCUCUUAACGAGGAACAAUUGGAGGGCAAGUCUGGUGCCAGCAGCGCGGUAAUUCCAGCGUCCAAUAGCGUAUAUUAAAGUUGUUGCAGUUAAAAAGCUCGUAGUUGAAUUUUAGGCCUGGUUGGACGGUCUGCGUCUAGGGUUUGUACUGUGCCUGACUGGGUCUUACCUUCUGGUGAGCUGUCGUAUUGUUUACUCAGUGCGGCAGGGAACCAGGACUUUUACUUUGAAAAAAUUAGAGUGUUAAAGCAGGCAUUCGUUGAAUACAUUAGGCAUGGAAUAAUAGAA
rnacentral:rRNA from 1 species